GACGGGGGGGGCUAGUGUUAUUCGGAAUGACUAGGCGUAAAGGGCACGUAGGCGGUGAAUCCGGUUGAAAGUGAAAGUCGCCAGCUCAACUGGCGGAAUGCUUUCAAAACCAAUUCACUUGAGUAAGAUAGAGGAUAGUGGAAUUUCGUGUAUAGAGAUAAAAUUCACAGAUAUACGAAGGAACACCAAAAGCGAAGGCAGCUUUCUGGGUCUCUACUGACGCUGAGGUGCGAAAGCAUAGGGAGCAAACAGG
rnacentral:rRNA from 1 species